rnacentral:rRNA from 1 species
AACCCUUGCCAUUAAUUGCCAUCAUUUAGUUGGGCACUUUAAUGGGACUGCCGGUGACAAACCGGAGGAAGUGGGGAUGACGUCAAGUCCUCAUGGCCCUUAUGGCCAGGGCUUCACACGUAAUACAAUGGUCGGUACAGAGGGUUGCCAAGCCGCGAGGUGGAGCCAAUCCCAGAAAGCCGAUCGUAGUCCGGAUUGUAGUCUGCAACUCGACUACAUGAAGUCGGAAUCGCUAGUAAUCGCGGAUCAGCAUGUCGCGGUGAAUACGUUCCCGGGCCUU